CAAAAAAAAAAAAAAGUUUCCCUUUCUGCUGCCGCAACCUCAUUGAGUCACCUCACCCUGGAGCACUGGGGAACAUAGGUACAUCCACGAUAUUCACCCAAAAGCACCUAUGGAUUCCUCCGUAGAGAAUCAUUGUAUUCACAGUAUUUAAAGCAUGAGAGCUAGGAAGUAACAUUUCUGGCUCUCAUACCCUGAGAGCCUAGACGCAUGUCUUGAGGCCUCUCUUCAAAGCUUUCUAUUUAGGUUUUUUUUUAAAAGGGUUUGGGGUGUAAAACAGGUCGACCAGCACUGAAUGCACUAUAACUACUUCAAUAAGAUGAAGUUGUUAAAAUGUACAGUAUUCCUGUAAGGAAGGAUAAAAUGGUUACGUAGAGGUGCAAUAAUUCCACAUAUUUAUAACAUAUUACUGUGGCUGUUACCUAGUAGUACAAGUGUUGACAAGCCACCAUAUAGC